rnacentral:lncRNA from 1 species
AGAAUGAUGUCUAUCUCAUCUGAGGUACAGAGCAUGCCAGUAGCAAAGUGUAAAACACCCCAUCUCACCCUCUGGAGUAUGUGUCUUAUCAGUGCAUCUAGGGUACCUGCCAAUUUAUGUCCAUUAAUUUCAAAUAAAAUAUCAGCAAUAUAAUGGACCAACAUUAAGGUCCAUGGGAUACUGAGAUGAUCCAGAUGCUUUUGAAUAAUGUUGUAACAGAUAUCAG